GGUGGUUCUUGUGUGACAAACCCUGAAAUUGGGCUCCCUCCUCUCUAGUUCUGGGUGCAUCACCCAAGAACUGCA
rfam:Myotis brandtii contig246480, whole genome shotgun sequence.